AUUGAACGCUGGCGGCAGGCUUAACACAUGCAAGUCGAGCGGGGUGAUGGUGCUUGCACUAUCACUUAGCGGCGGACGGGUGAGUAAUGCUUAGGAAUCUGCCUAUUAGUGGGGGACAACAUCUCGAAAGGGAUGCUAAUACCGCAUACGUCCUACGGGAGAAAGCAGGGGAUCACUUGUGACCUUGCGCUAAUAGAUGAGCCUAAGUCGGAUUAGCUAGUUGGUGGGGGAAAGGCCUACCAAGGCGACGAUCUGUAGCGGGUCUGAGAGGAUGAUCCGCCACACUGGGACUGCGACACGGCCCAGACUCCGACGGGAGGCAGCAGUGGGGAAUGUCGGACAAUGGGGGGAACCCUGAUCCAGCCAUGCCGCGUGUGUGAAGAAGGCCUUAUGGUUGUAAAGCACUUUAAGCGAGGAGGAGGCUCUUUUGGUUAAUACCCAAGAUGAGUGGACGUUACUCGCAGAAUAAGCACCGGCUAACUCUGUGCCAGCCGCCGCGGUAA
rnacentral:rRNA from 1 species